CCUACGGGAGGCUGCAGUGAGGAAUAUUGGUCAAUGGCCGCAGGGCUGAACCAGCCAAGUCGCGUGGGGGAUGACGGUCCUAUGGAUUGUAAACCUCUUUUGUCAGGGAGCAAAGGGCGCCACGUGUGGCGCUUUGCGAGUACCUGAAGAAAAAGCAUCGGCUAACUCCGUGCCAGCAGCCGCGGUAAUACGGAGGAUGCGAGCGUUAUCCGGAUUUAUUGGGUUUAAAGGGUGCGCAGGCGGAAUGUCAAGUCAGCGGUAAAAUUUCGGGGCUCAACCCCGUCGUGCCGUUGAAACUGGCGUUCUUGAGUGAGCGAGAAGUAUGCGGAAUGCGUGGUGUAGCGGUGAAAUGCAUAGAUAUCACGCAGAACUCCGAUUGCGAAGGCAGCAUACCGGCGCUCAACUGACGCUCAUGCACGAAAGCGUGGGUAUCGAACAGGAUUAGAUACCCGGGUAGUC
rnacentral:rRNA from 1 species